rnacentral:rRNA from 1 species
GACGAACGCUGGCGGCGUGCUUAACACAUGCAAGUCGAACGGAAAGGCCUCUUUCGGGGGGUACUCGAGUGGCGAACUGGUGAGUAACACGUGAGUAACCUGCCCUUGACUUUGGGAUAACUUCAGGAAACUGGGGCUAAUACCGGAUAGGAGCUCCUGCUGCAUGGUGGGGGUUGGAAAGUUUCGGCGGUUGGGGAUGGACUCGCGGCUUAUCAGCUUGUUGGUGGGGUAGUGGCUUACCAAGGCUUUGACGGGUAGCCGGCCUGAGAGGGUGACCGGCCACAUUGGGACUGAGAUACGGCCCAGACUCCUACGGGAGGCAGCAGUGGGGAAUAUUGCACAAUGGGUGGAAGCCUGAUGCAGCAACGCCGUGUGCGGGAUGACGGCCUUCGGGUUGUAAACCGCUUUCGCUCAUGACGAAGCUUUGUGUGACGGUAGUGGGUAAAGAAGCACCGGCUAACUACGUG